GCCAGGGAACUACGAGCUAAAGCUUAAAACCCAAAGGACUUGACGGUGCCCCACAUCCUUCUAGAGGAGCCUGUCCUACAACCGAUACCCCCCGCUAUACCUCACCACUUUUAGCUUAUCAGCCUGUAUACUUCCGUCGUCAGCUUACCGCAUGAGCGAAAUUAGUAAGCCUAAUAUCACCCUCUAAUACGUCAGGUCAAAGUGCAGCAAAUAAAGUGGCAAGAGAUGGGCUACACUUUCUAAUCUAGAAAAUACGAAAAAACUAUGUGAAACCAUGGUCAG
rnacentral:rRNA from 1 species